rnacentral:rRNA from 1 species
UACGAAGGGGACUAGCGUUGUUCGGAAUUACUGGGCGUAAAGCGCACGUAGGCGGAUUUGUAAGUCAGGGGUGAAAUCCCGGGGCUCAACCUCGGAACUGCCUUUGAUACUGCAAAUCUCGAGUCCGAUAGAGGUGGGUGGAAUUCCUAGUGUAGAGGUGAAAUUCGUAGAUAUUAGGAAGAACACCAGUGGCGAAGGCGGCUCACUGGUCCGAUACUGACGCUGAGGUGCGAAAGCGUGGGGAGCAAACAGGG